GACGAACGCUGGCGGCGUGCUUAACACAUGCAAGUCGAACGGAAAGGCCCUGCUUUUGUGGGGUGCUCGAGUGGCGAACGGGUGAGUAACACGUGAGUAACCUGCCCUUGACUUUGGGAUAACUUCAGGAAACUGGGGCUAAUACCGGAUAGGAGCUCCUGCUGCAUGGUGGGGGUUUGAAAGUUUCGGCGGUUGGGGAUGGACUCGCGGCUUAUCAGCUUGUUGGUGGGGUAGUGGCUUACCAAGGCUUUGACGGGUAGCCGGCCUGAGAGGGUGACCGGCCACAUUGGGACUGAGAUACGGCCCAGACUCCUACGGGAGGCAGCAGUGGGGAAUAUUGCACAAUGGGCGGAAGCCUGAUGCAGCAACGCCGCGUGCGGGAUGACGGCCUUCGGGUUGUAAACCGCUUUCGCCUGUGACGAAGCGUGAGUGACGGUAACGGGUAAAGAAGCACCGGCUAACUACGUG
rnacentral:rRNA from 1 species